GGACAUUGAAAACGAAGAGAAAGGUUAGUAUGUUGGUUAUUUAGGUGUUCUCCAGUCCAUGGUCGCUGUCUUUUUCAAGUUUUAGUGAAGUUCUUCAGCAUUGAUUGUUGUCAAUGUAUAAAUAAAAGUAAGUGGUUGGCUUGUGGACCUGCAAAGAUUAUUAGAAAGGGAUGUAAUGCAUCGCUUUGGUAUGUGGAGCUUAAGAGUAAGUCCUUACUGGUUUGCUUGUUUUAGGCAUACUUGUGGACCUGCAAAGAUUAUUAGAAAGGGAUGUAAUGCAUCGCUUUGGUAUGUGGAGCUUAAGAGUAAGUCCUUCCUGGUUUGCUUGUUUUAGGCAUACUCAUUCAACCCUAAACGAGGCUUUGUACUGUUUGGUAGAACUUUUAAAAAGUCAAA
rnacentral:lncRNA from 1 species